rnacentral:rRNA from 1 species
UACGUAGGGCGCAAGCGUUAUCCGGAAUUAUUGGGCGUAAAGAGCUCGUAGGCGGUUUGUCGCGUCUGCUGUGAAAGACCGGGGCUCAACUCCGGUUCUGCAGUGGGUACGGGCAGACUAGAGUGAUGUAGGGGAGACUGGAAUUCCUGGUGUAGCGGUGAAAUGCGCAGAUAUCAGGAGGAACACCGAUGGCGAAGGCAGGUCUCUGGGCAUUAACUGACGCUGAGGAGCGAAGGCAUGGGGAGCGAACAGG